rnacentral:lncRNA from 10 species
GGAAUAUAUGCAUGCUCUCUUCAGCCACUUUUAUUUAUUUUUUGAGACAACGUCUCUCUCUGUUGUCCAGGCUGGAGUACUGUGGCACGAUCUUGGCUCACUGCAACCUCCGUCACUGGGUACAAGUAAUUAUUGUAUCUCAGCCUCCUGAGUAGCUGGGACUACAGGCGCCCGCCACCAUGUCUGGCUAAUUUUUGUGUUUUUAGUAGAGAUGGGGUUUUGCCACGUUGGCCAGGGUGGUCUCGAACUCCUGAUCUUAGGUGAUGCCCCUGCCUCGGCCUCCCAAAGUGCUGAUAUUAUAGGUGUGAGCCACUGUGCCCAGCCUUCAGCUACUUUUAAUCUUAGCAAAAAGAUUUGCUGAGACCAAGGACUGUCCAGAGGUGGUACAACCAUUUAAUGAACUUAUGAAAAAAUGAAGUAUGCUUUUGUUACAUAUAUAUAUAAUUAUAUAUAAAAUAUGUAUUAUAUAUGUGUGUGUGUAUGUGUGUGUGUGUAUAUAUACAUAUAUAUAUAUUCCAUAUUUAGUGAAAUCUAGUUCAUGGAAGUCAGUCCAGAGAGGUCUGGAACUGGUUCAGUGUAUUUCUCAACUUCAUAGCAACACAAUUCUGGUGGGCAUUAACCUUUACUGUGGUGGCCACAACAUUUUUUUGAGAAGAGUGGUCAUGUUUUUUAUUUUUAUUUUUUUGAGAACAGUGGUCAUGUUUUAUAUUUUUAUUUUUUACUUGUACUCUUUUUGAUCAUAGCUCACUGCAGAAAUCCUGGGCUCAAAUGAUCCUCCCGCCUCAGCCUCCUGAGUAGCAGGGACUAUAGGCACACGCUGUAAGAAUUAAAGAGGAAAGAAACACAAAAAGGGGCUCAACAGCCAAAGACAGGUUUAUUUAGAGAAUAAACCUGAGAAGGGCUUCUGGUUGAUUUUGGUCAGGAGUGUUCUAACAGACUAAGGAUAUUUAAGAGUUUAGGAAGUGGGAAGAUCAUUGUAGGUUCGGAAUGUUUCUAUGUGAGGGAAAGUUUAUUGUAGGGUUAGAAUGUCUCUCGUCAGAGGGGAGGCUAUCUUGGGGUUGGCAUGUUUCUGGUUGGAAAGGGUUUUAUCUUAGGGUUGGAAUGUUUCUGGUUAUGCUGGGAGUUGGUUUCCCAGCAUAGGGAAAUGCCCUGAUGUUCUGGGACUGACGUUCUGGGGCUGGAUUUAGGCAGUUUUUAAUCAAGAGGAACACAGAAUGUUGGUAUUUGUCCAAGAUGGCGAUGCUCCUGCUCUGUCAUGCACCACCACACCUGGCUAAUCUUUUUUUAUUUUUAAUUUUUAUUUUUUUUCCUUUCUGAAGGGGCAGAUGGCUGUUUAUUGAUCCUUCAGUCUUGUUUCAAUUAGAUCAUACUUUUGCCAGCGAGAGAGGGAAACAGAGGAAAG